UGAAGAACACAUAGCAAUAAUAAGACCUUCUAAAUGUGGUUCUGGGUGAAGUAGUUUCACUGCAAUCCACCCCAGAAUCCCUCCAAUUAGAAAGGUUAACGCAGCAUUGAUCGGCAUAAACCACCUUAAAUAGAAGACGAGGAAGCAAACAGAUAUAUUUGGAAGACUAGUUUGGAAGGUGAAAAUACAAGCGAAAAUCAUGCUGCACGAUGAGUCACUGCUUAUAAAUUCAUAUAUGCAAUUACCACGACAUGAUAUCUUGAAGGGUUACAGUCUCGGCUAGACUUGUAUACAAAAGCGCGGGAGUAAACACCACAAACACGAUCUGCAAUUCAACGUACAGGAAUAUUUUAAGGAUGGAAAGAAAGAAGACCUUAAACUUGACAGACAUCUAAUAGAAGCACAUUGGUUACUAAUAAGAAUGAAACAAAGCAUGAAAACAAACAUUUGUGCAAAAUUUUGAAGUGACAGAUGUAGUCACCUUGUUGAGGUUCUUGCGGGUAUCAGGGGGAAGAAGAUUGAGGUAAUUAGUAGCCAUCAGAACUCCCAAAAUGCUUAUUAAAAGCACCUGCAAUAUUGGCAUUGAUGCCACUUCUAAUAGCGUCCAAAACCCCAUCUUUCUUUAAUGUAUUCGAUCUUCACGAACAAACAACAGCUUCCUUUAUUGAUUAAUGGCUAAUUCCACCUUCACUGUGUACAUAGAAGUACACAAGUCUUCAGCUACAUACAUUUAUAUGCAUUAAGCUUAUACUGAGAAAAAGGAAAGUACUGGGAAAUUGCUUAAAAACAAGAUCAGACUUCAUGAUUAUGUCAUCUGGUAUGAUCUCAAAGAAAACGCCAAAAGAAUCAAAAAGUCAAGAAAAAAAAUAAAAAAAUUCAAGAUCAUAACGGACUUUCAGACACAACCUGUGGCUCAUCGCUUAUCGUUUCUUCACAACAAUACAACUAAUUGUCUAAUUCUCAGAUCUCCUGGUAUGACUACACAAAAAUUAGUACAUGUCAUAACUUACUUGCUAUCUCUUCAAAUCUGUCCUCCCCUGAACCAAUAUAUCAUACUUGCAUUCUUCAUCUGUGUCCUAUAAUUAUUCGGUUGCUUAUGGGGACAGGGGCCCUUGUCAUUAAUUUGAAAAGAACCAGACCAUCACAAAGUUCGUUUUCAUUACAUAACUAAAAUUUUAAAUUUUAAACCUUAAAGCAAUAAAUCUACAUCAAUAUGGUUGUGUAUUCCUCAUGGCCGCAUAUACAAAAGGGCCUACAGAACUAAAAUUUUCCCAUGAUGGUGAUCACCUUCCAACAAUUUCUAGAGUUAACAACUUUAUGCUCUCUUUUUUUCUUGAAUUAAUCUAUAAAAAAACAUGCACCAUAAAACAAAGCAAUUAUGCCCUUCCAGUUUUUUCUAACUAGAUAAAUAAUGAUGUUAUUCUGACACCACAUAAAAGUAUUUUUUAUUAAAAAAUUAUUGGCAUGGAUGAAAAUUAUGAUAAGAGUAGAAAUUUCUGCGAAAAAACAGAAGGCGACAGAAACCAGAUGCAAGAAUCCAUUAUUGCAGAGUAAUAACUAAAAGCAAUAAAUGAAUAUAAGACAAGAAGCAAUUACUAUCACAGUAUAGGAACAGUGUUUCAUGCAGAAACAUACAAAUACGUAACAUAAUAAUAUGCUAAGCAGCAAGCAGUGGCGGAAUCAGUUCCGAAAAGCCAGACUGAAAGAAGGCUGUGGUCAGACAAAUCUUAAUCUUUUUAAGUUGAAACUGUAUCAAGGAAAAUGAGAAAAGAGAAGAUGAAGUUGAUUAGAGACGUGUAGAAGAAAGAGAGAAAGCAAAAGAGAAGAUGAUGAGGAAUAAGGGGGUGUAUUUUAGCCAUANAAGCAAAAGAGAAGAUGAUGAGGAAUAAGGGGGUGUAUUUUAGCCAUCCCCGACACUCUGUUAGCAGCCUUGGCAAUUCUGGGGCUACUAUUGUAACGUACACAUGUUUGUCUAUAGCAACUAAGAUAGAAAACUCCAACUAAUCUACUACUACUUUGUACCAGAAUUUUUGUUACAUUGAUGAUGCAUAAUAAGUUUAUAAGAAAUAAGCAAUCGUCACCAUCAUUUUACUGGUUUUUUUAAUUUCCCAACGUUUAAGUUUAAGUGUAGUAAAAAUUGAGAAUCAGAACUAGUUCGUCUAACUAUCAAUCCAUUAUUUACUGAAAACUCAUGAAAUAUUAUAAAUUAAAAUUUUUAAUCAAAUUAGAGUGUAAUCAAUGAAUUGACAAAUUUUUUACAAAAAUUAUUAUGAGAAAUUAAUAUUUUAUACAAAUGUUAUAUAUUUAUAUAAAAUAUUUCACAAAAAAAAAGUAAAAAAAUAUUAUUUUUUCCCUGACAAUCUUGAUAUUGAUACGAAUGUGUAUUUUGGGUGCUCGAGAGUCUACAAGGCCCAAGACUAGGCCUCAUCGUAUUGGGCCCCUUUCAGGAGGAAGAUAGCAGAAGGGGAAGCCUAAUCCUAUUAGGUUUAGGUUUCCUAAGGAGAAAAGAACUACGUACUGGCUUGAUCCCCUAUAAAUAUAGGGGUACGUAGGCAAAUUAGGGGGACACGAGUUGGGAGCACAUGGAGGCAACUCGAAACCCUAAUCUCAGCCACCCCUAAAUUUCAUCACCACCGCUUAGCCACCAUCAUAGAUCUUGAUUCCGGCCACGAACCUCAAAUUUACGGAGGAAUUUGGUAGUUAACAUGUAUAACCGUUUGCAACUGAGAAAUUAAGCAAUGAAGUAUAUAACUAGAUAGAACAUGAAACUCAGGAGUCAGCUUCUUUCUACAUGAAUGUGAAUGUUGAGUUUGUAAAUAUGUGGGUCUCAUCUCAUGGCACAUUUUCACUUUCUAAGCUGCCACUGCAGCACAGAAAUUUCUUUAUUCACAAAGUUAGCACAGAACACUGAAGAAGUAUAGUGCUAACUGCUAAUGUUCAGAACACUUGAAUAUGUUUCACAGAAUCCAAUUUACAUGCGCAACGUACAAGUCCUUUAACAUUAUUUCUUCACUCUGGAAUGCCUAUACCUGAAUCUGAAUGUUCUUAUAUUACACACAAGCAUGUCAUAAAAAUCUAUGCACCCGGCCCUCAGAUCUCGAUGCAUCGAUACAAAAGGCUCAAAGGGGAUUCUCGCUAAGGAGAUGUAUGUUUCUGCAACUUAGGACAAUAUCCACAUAUAUAAUGUCGACCAUAUUGUGAUCGCAAAGGCUGCAGCUAUGUAAGUCCAUAGGUAGAUGACUGAACACUCUGCUUGCCCAACAUUAAACAAUUCAGUGAUUGUACCUGCAUAAUUGAGUCCAUAGUGAGAAUAAGGGACCAGAAGUCUGCAAUUCAGAAACAAACAGAAGUUCCUUACCGAUAUUCAUAGCAGGCGGAACACUAAACUGAAGCAUAAGGACAAAAUGGAACAGUGGAUCUGAUGGAAGCCAGCCGAAGCUGCUAACUACUUUAACCACGCCAAUGCCAACAACGGGAAGGAUCAGGUACCGCACACAAAGUAUUGCCACUAUGAUCAGAGGCUUUAUAUUCGCGUCUUGUAAGCCUGACACCAUCAUAUAUUAUAUAAUUAUUACAAUUAAGUUGCUUUUCAAAUUGUUUUUGUAAUUCAUGAGUAGUCUUUGCUAGUUCGCUAACAGUAUAAUCUGAUCAUAACGAGAACAAUUUCUUUUAUAGGCAUUAGUGAAAUUUGCUUUGACUUGUGUUUCUCAACAAUCAAAGCGUUUUUUUACCUUGCGCAAGGUUGCCACCAAGUAUGAGGGUGAUGCAAGGUAUGGUUGCAGUCCUGCAUAAUAUGUUACAGUUACACUACAAAUUGAACAAACACGAGUUUGAACUUCUAUGAAUCCUGGUUUCUGUAUACAGUCACAAGUAAAGUCGAGAAAAAACAAACCCAAGUAAUUGCACAGUGUCUUGGAGCACUCUGAGUGGAGCUUCUUCACCUACCAUAAGAUACUUAAGCCAAGGAACUGUCGCAACCAGGAAGCCAAUAAUCUGAGAAAAAUGAAGGCGUUAUUUACGUAUUGUAGUUUGGUUUUGGGAGGAAUUUCAUACUAUCAGUAGACGACAUUUGUAGGGAACUCACCAUACUAAGGGUCGGAGGUGCCAUCAUUUCCUCCAAAAUCUGGUACAUGACUCCUGUAAAUAUAUUCCAGAUCGACUCUUGCUUGUUUGUCUGAUUGCUGUCGGAUCCUUGGUACACAAUCUGUGAAUGAAGUAAAUAUCGAUAUAGACUACCUAGUUAUUAAUCAAUGACUCUAAAAUUCAGAAUGAAAUAAACUUACGGCAUUGCUUUUUGUUUCCUCUGCAGCUGACUCCUGAACUUGUCCAUUCAGUAGUUGGGUACUCUCAUUUGCUUCCAAAUCUUUAUUGGGUGACAUUACAGCCUCUUUAGAUGCUUUCGAGGCAUUAAAUUUCAUAGAAGAACUUCGUAUCAAUUGGUAAGCAUAAGUCCAUACAAUUAUACCACCAAGCUGCAAAUGAGAAUGGUCACUUGUAUAUUUUCAGCUUGACAUGAAGCAAGCAUGCUAGAAUUUAUAUUCUUCAUAAUUAAAAAUUGAAAAAAAAAAAGAAGAAAGUAAACGCAACACGUCAUACACUAAUCUUCAAUCUAAUAUCAUGUCACAAUUCACAAUUUUACUUGAAAAUUUAAUAAAUAAAGCAUGAGUUUUUACAGUGAAUCUGACAGAGCAGAACUUACGGCCAUGGAGAAAGAAGAGUAGGAGAGGCCUUUAGAAGAGCAGAUUUGAUGAUCACCAAAUGGGCUGCCUUCCUCAGUGCAAAUCGCGGGAACAAUUAUAAUGACAAUGUUUCCCAAGUUUCCUAAUACACACACAUAACAUAACAUGAAAUUUUCAGAACCUGUAAUACACGCUUAAUGAACGCUGCAUAAUAGUACUAAUAAUAAAGAAUAUAAAUAGACAAAUACACUAACUAGUGGAAGUCUGCCAUAAUACCUGAAGAACACAUAGCAAUAAUAAGACCUUCUAAAUGUGGUUCUGGGUGAAGUAGUUUCACUGCAAUCCACCCCAGAAUCCCUCCAAUUAGAAAGGUUAACGCAGCAUUGAUCGGCAUAAACCACCUUAAAUAGAAGACGAGGAAGCAAACAGAUAUAUUUGGAAGACUAGUUUGGAAGGUGAAAAUACAAGCGAAAAUCAUGCUGCACGAUGAGUCACUGCUUAUAAAUUCAUAUAUGCAAUUACCACGACAUGAUAUCUUGAAGGGUUACAGUCUC
rnacentral:lncRNA from 1 species